rnacentral:rRNA from 1 species
UACGUAGGGAGCAAGCGUUGUCCGGAUUUAUUGGGCGUAAAGGGCUCGUAGGCGGUUUGUCGCGUCGGGAGUGAAAUCCACUGGCUUAACUGGUGGCUUGCUUUCGAUACGGGCAGACUGGAGGUAUGCAGGGGGAGAACGGAAUUCCUGGUGUAGCGGUGAAAUGCGCAGAUAUCAGGAGGAACACCCGUGGCGAAAGCGGCUCUCUGGGACGGUACUGACGCUGAGACGCGAAGGCUAGGGGAGCGAACGGG